CCCCUCUCUCCACAAGAGUCUGUUCUUGAUGCCUCUCCCUCUUUUGUUCUUGAGAUGAGAUGAGAUGAGAUGGGACACCGUUCUUGUGGCUUCUUUGAGUUCUUGCCACCAGCCAAAUCGCCACAUCGACCAAGGCAACCUCAACCCGAACACACCUUGUAGCGGCCAGAUAGCUUCUUUUCCACAUCGAUCUGUUCUUGGCUUCUUCCUUCUACGCAUCUCUGUCCCUCUCGGCGCAUCGAGUGUUGUUUGCCAUGUGUCUAGGAUUUUCUUCAUCCUUGUAUUUUAUGCGAGCUUUGAUGUUGGAGACGGAGAUGGACUGCCCAAGGGAACGAGUGAAGCUGCCAGCAUGAUCUAGCUCCGAGUGAUCAAACAAGAAAAGCUUGUUGAUUCAAGCUCUUGUGGUCAUGCCUUGCUAGGUCAUGCUGCGGCAGCCUCACUUCUUCCCGCCGUUGGGCACAGCUGCUUCUGAUCUGGUGACCGCUGCUGCAAUCUGCGCUGGGUUUCUUGCAAAGGUGUCUGUCUUGGAGAUGAAGAGGCCCUUUCUGCUGCCAUUUGGUCUCCUGUAGUUCCUUUGCACGGUCCCUGUUUAUAUCACAAUAGCACUUGUGCAAAUUUUGUUGUUUGGGCAUUUCGUUGUAAGCCGACAGUUUAGGGCUUGUGAUUUCCAUAAUGGUGGAGUACGUCUUGAAAUGUCUUCACCAAGAGAUGGAAGAUAUAGUAGUUAGAAGCAGUUUACUCUUGGGUAAAUACCUUGUUUUUUUUCUUUUCUUUUUGAGGAAAGCAGUAGGCCUUUUUUGUUAGGGACUUUCUCGACAGAAAGAAAUCAUGUUCUAAAGUCAGGAUGCUAUAUACAAUCACAAGUAUACCGACGUUUGACACA